rnacentral:rRNA from 1 species
UACGUAGGGCGCAAGCGUUAUCCGGAAUUAUUGGGCGUAAAGAGCUCGUAGGCGGUUUGUUGCGUCGGCCGUGAAAACUCAGGGCUUAACUCUGAGCCUGCGGUCGAUACGGGCAGACUUGAGUUCGGUAGGGGAGACUGGAAUUCCUGGUGUAGCGGUGAAAUGCGCAGAUAUCAGGAGGAACACCGGUGGCGAAGGCGGGUCUCUGGGCCGAUACUGACGCUGAGGAGCGAAAGCGUGGGGAGCGAACAGG